AAUAUUUGACGCCGUUGACUUUUUUAAACAUGUUUGACCGUUCGUCUUAUUCAAAAAAUUUAAGUAAUUAUUAAUUCUUUUUCUAUCAUUUGAUUCAAUGUUAAAUAUAGUUUUAUGUACGCAUAUAGUUUUACAUAUUUCAUAGAAGUUCUUGAAUAAGACGAACGGUCAAACAUACUUUAAAAAAGUCAAUGGCGUCAAAUAUU
rnacentral:pre_miRNA from 1 species